CCCUAAACCCAUCGUUCAGUUCCUGACCCUAGCCUCCCUCCCGACCUCCUGGGCGGCGGCGCUCCUUGGCGACCGCACGGCGUGCCCUGCGCAGCUCUCCCUCGAUCUCCCACUGACUCGGGCGUCCAUCCCCCUCUCCACUCCCACUCCGGUCGUCCUCCCUCUCCUGGGCGACGGCCACAGUCUGGGCGACGGCUGCACGCAGGGCUUGGCCGACGGCUGCAAGCAGGGCCAAGGCAACGACGGCAGGCAAGGCCAGGGAGACGGCGGCAGGCUAGGUGACGAGAUCAAGGGCGACGGCGGCAGGUUGGGCGGCAGCAGUUUGGGCGACGGCGCAGUCACAGAAUGGCAGAGCCAAGUGAAACAAAUGCGGCAACAGUUGGCUUAUCCAGCACUGCAUCCACAGGCAACUAAUCAAAUGAAGCAUGUGACCCUGCUUGGAAGUACUGCACAAUGCCAGAUGUGAACAAGAAAAACUCUCUCAAGUGCAACUUCUGUAGUGGACUUUAUCAUGGUGGAAUAACUAGAAUCAAGUACCACCUUGCUAAAGUUCCUAAAUGUGGUGUUGCCAAGUGUACCAAAGUUCCAUCUGAUGUGCUAGAAGAAAUACAGAACUUGUUGUCAAAGAAGGCAAAUAACAUGCAGUUGAGGCAAAGGAAGGAUAAGGAGAAACAAGACGAAAGAGCUGUAGUUCUUGUAUGGGUACCUAGUAGAGGCUAAGAAUGAGAUCUCUAGGAAGUUUAACAAUGACAAGAAGAAGUAUGAGGAAGUUUUUCAGUUCAUUGACAAAAGGUGGGACAUGAAGCUGAAGACACCUUUGCAUAGGGCCGGUUAUUACCUGAACCCUUACUAUUAUUAUCAAAACAAGAGGUCAAUAGAGGACAAUGAAUCAUUUAGAGAUGGUGUAAUAACUUGCAUCACAAAGCUUGUGAGAGAUGAAGACACUCAGGACAAGAUUAUUGAGGAGCUUCAAAAGUUUCAAGAUGCUGAAGGAUCCUUUGGCAAGGACAUUGCUAAAAGGCAGUGCAAAAAUAUUCAUUUUGAUCCAGCAAAGUGGUGGCUGAACCAUGGAAGUAGUGCACCAAACCUCAGAAAGCUAGCUGCUAGAAUAUUAAGUUUGACAUGCAGUUCAUCAGCUUGUGAGAGAUGCUAGAGUUCAUUUGAACAGGUCCACACAAAAAAAAGAAACAUGUUGCUUCAUGACAGAAUGAGGGACCUUAUGUAUAUCAAGUUCAACUCAAAAUUGAGGCAAAAGAGGGACAACAGGGAUAAAGAUCCCCUCGAGAAACCUGUUCUUGAUGCUUUAGAAGAUGAAGAGAAUGAAUGGCUCACUGGUAUUGAGCCAACAGAGGAAGAUCCAGAGCAGGAGGGACAAACUGGAGCAUCAUCACAGGGAGUUGCAGCUGCACCACAAAGAGAAGAAACAAGGAGGGGAGGUAACAAGAACAAGAAGAGAAAGAGGUUGAUCCCUACUUUUGAGGAUGAAGAGUUAUCUGCUGCUUCUUCAGAAGAGGACAAUGAAAUGCCAUCUUAUUUGAGUUCUGAACUUGGUUCAGAUUCAGAAGCUCAAAGUGACUAAUUAGGGAAUGUGCAGCUAGCUAUGUGGUGCACCGGUGCUUCAAGUGAUUGAGUUCAUGUGGUCUUCUGGACCGACUUAAUAAUUGUUAAUUUGUGAUUAAACUAUGAAACACAUGUGAUGUGUGAUUUGAUUGUGAAAUAUGAUGGUUGUUUGAAUUUGUUGUUGUCUA